rnacentral:rRNA from 1 species
GAGUUUGAUCAUGGCUCACAUUGAACGCUGGCGGCAGGCCUAACACAUGCAAGUCGAGCGGUAACAGAAAGUAGCUUGCUACUUUGCUGACGAGCGGCGGACGGGUGAGUAAUGCUUGGGAACAUGCCUUGAGGUGGGGGACAACAGUUGGAAACGACUGCUAAUACCGCAUAAUGUCUACGGACCAAAGGGGGCUUCGGCUCUCGCCUUUAGAUUGGCCCAAGUGGGAUUAGCUAGUUGGUGAGGUAAUGGCUCACCAAGGCGACGAUCCCUAGCUGGUUUGAGAGGAUGAUCAGCCACACUGGGACUGAGACACGGCCCAGACUCCUACGGGAGGCAGCAGUGGGGAAUAUUGGACAAUGGGCGCAAGCCUGAUCCAGCCAUACCGCGUGUGUGAAGAAGGCCUUCGGGUUGUAAAGCACUUUAAGCAGGGAGAAAAAGUUAUAAGUUAAUACCUUAUAACCCUGAUGUUACCUGCAGAAUAAGCACCGGCUAAUUCCGUGCCAGCAGCCGCGGUAAUACGGAAGGUGCAAGCGUUAAUCGGAAUUACUGGGCGUAAAGCGCGCGUAGGUGGUUUGUUAAGUUGGAUGUGAAAGCCCUGGGCUCAACCUAGGAACUGCAUCCAAAACUAACUCACUAGAGUACGAUAGAGGGAGGUAGAAUUCAUAGUGUAGCGGUGGAAUGCGUAGAUAUUAUGAAGAAUACCAGUGGCGAAAGCGGCCUCCUGGAUCUGUACUGACACUGAGGUGCGAAAGCGUGGGUAGCGAACAGGAUUAGAUACCCUGGUAGUCCACGCCGUAAACGAUGACAACUAGCUGUUGGGAGACUAUGUCUUUCAGUGGCGCAGCUAACGCUUUAAGUUGUCCGCCUGGGGAGUACGGCCGCAAGGCUAAAACUCAAAUGAAUUGACGGGGACCCGCACAAGCGGUGGAGCAUGUGGUUUAAUUCGAUGCAACGCGAAAAACCUUACCUACUCUUGACAUACUUGGAGGCUCUUGUAAUGAGAGUGUGCCUUUUGGAACCAAGAUACAGGUGCUGCAUGGCUGUCGUCAGCUCGUGUCGUGAGAUGUUCCGUUAAGUCGGAUAACGAGCGCAACCCUUACCCUUAUUUGCCAGCGAUUCGGUCGGGAACUAUAAGGGGACUGCCGGUGAUAAACCGGAGGAAGGUGAGGACGACGUCAAAUCAUCAUGGCCCUUACGAGUAGGGCUACACACGUGCUACAAUGGGAGAUACAGACGGACGCUAAGCCGCGAGGUGGUGCUAAUCCUAAAAAGUCUUUCGUAGUCCGGAUUGGAGUCUGCAACUCGACUCCAUGAAGUCGGAAUCGCUAGUAAUCGCGGAUCAGCAUGCCGCGGUGAAUACGUUCUCGGGUCUUGUACACACCGCCCGUCACACCAUGGAAGUGGAUUGCACCAGAAGUAGAUAGUCUAACCUUAGGGAGGGCGUUUACCACGGUGUGCUUCAUGACUGGGGUGAAGUCGUAACAAGGUAACC